UACGUAGGGAGCAAGCGUUGUCCGGAAUCAUUGGGCGUAAAGCGCGUGUAGGCGGUCCGGUAAGUCGGUUGUGAAAGUCCAGGGCUCAACCCUGGGAUGCCGAUCGAUACUGCCGGACUAGAGUCCGGAAGAGGCGAGUGGAAUUCCCGGUGUAGCGGUGAAAUGCGCAGAGUAUCAGGAGGAACACCAGUGGCGAAGGCAGGCUCGCUGGGG
rnacentral:rRNA from 1 species